UACGUAGGGGGCUAGCGUUGUCCGGAUUUAUUGGGCGUAAAGAGCGUGUAGGCGGCCAGGUAGGUCUGGUGUGAAAACUCGAGGCUUAACCUCGAGAUGUCAUCGGAAACCAUCUGGCUAGAGUCCGGAAGAGGAGAGUGGAAUUCCUGGUGUAGCGGUGAAAUGCGCAGAUAUCAGGAAGAACACCCAUGGCGAAGGCAGCUUCCUGGCCCAAUUCUGGCGCUGAGGUGCGAAAGCGUGGGUAGCGAACGGG
rnacentral:rRNA from 1 species